rnacentral:rRNA from 1 species
GACGAACGCUGGCGGCGUGCUUAACACAUGCAAGUCGAGCGGUAAGGCCCUUUCGGGGGUACACGAGCGGCGAACGGGUGAGUAACACGUGGGUGACCUGCCCUCAGCUCUGGGAUAAGCCUGGGAAACCGGGUCUAAUACCGGAUAUGACUCCAUGACGCAUGUUGUGGGGUGGAAAGCCUUGUGCGGCUGAGGAUGGGCCCGCGGCCUAUCAGCUUGUUGGUGGGGUGAUGGCCUACCAAGGCGACGACGGGUAGCCGGCCUGAGAGGGCGACCGGCCACACUGGGACUGAGACACGGCCCAGACUCCUACGGGAGGCGAGCGAGUGGGGAAUCUUGCGCAAUGGGCGAAAGACCUGACGCAGCGACGCCGCGUGAGGGAU